rnacentral:rRNA from 1 species
AACGAACGCUGGCGGCAUGCCUAACACAUGCAAGUCGAACGAGACCUUCGGGUCUAGUGGCGCACGGGUGCGUAACGCGUGGGAACCUGCCUUUAGGUUCGGAAUAACUCAGAGAAAUUUGAGCUAAUACCGGAUGAUGUCUUCGGACCAAAGAUUUAUCGCCUUUAGAUGGGCCCGCGUUGGAUUAGCUAGUUGGCGGGGUAAAGGCCUACCAAGGCGACGAUCCAUAGCUGGUCUGAGAGGAUGAUCAGCCACACUGGGACUGAGACACGGCCCAGACUCCUACGGGAGGCAGCAGAAGGGAAUAUUGGACAAUGGGCGAAAGCCUGAUCCAGCAAUGCCGCGUGAGUGAUGAAGGCCUUAGGGUUGUAAAGCUCUUUUACCCGAGAUGAGAAUGACAGUAUCGGGAGAAUAAGCUCCGGCUAACUCCGUG